rnacentral:pre_miRNA from 1 species
GCAAGUCUUUUAUUGGUAUGAGUGUAGUGGUAGACAGUCUUUUAUUGGUAUGAGUAUGUCUACCACUACAAUAAAAGACUGCUCUACCACUACACUCAUACCAAUAAAAGACGG